GCGGGGCCGCGGGACCGCGGCGCUGCGGGCGCUGCGUGCCAGCCAGGGGGACGGGCCGCGCCCCCCCACUUCCGCUCCGCCGCUUCCGGUUUUCCCGCGUUGCCAUGGCAACGGCAGAGCCCGCGGGGUUGCUCAGUCCUGCCGUUGGCAAAAAAUGCUUCAAAGCUCCUGGGUGAGCGUGGUUGUGAGUGGCAGCGAGGGCAGCAGCUCUGCUCAGUGUGAGAAAGGAUGCUCUCUGGGAACUGCCAGGCCCUGUCCAGAUCCUCCACGAUCCCACCCUUGACCCUGCCUUGCCAGUGGAACUGCCCGGACAGACCUUGGACCUGUCUCAUCGCCACGGGCCAGCUGGGUGCUCACAGGCUGCAUCUGACCUGACCACUGCCUCCGGCCCUCGGCCUGGCCCAGCCGGGCAACUCUGUACCCGGCUCCUUGCUGGGGCGGUCACUGCCUGCGCCAGCCUUGCUACCAAGCUCGUCGUCCUUGUGGAGCAUCCCGCUCUCGCUGCACCCUGACACAUGGUGCAUUCUGGACAGGUUUACAGUAUGGCAAGUCUGUCUGUGGAAGCAGAAGCAACAAAGGAAUGAAUGCACUGAGAGGCAGAAAGAUUUGUGAGUAGAUCAAGGAAAUACUGGUUCUCAGAUACUCACAUGGCUUAUGUUGGAUGUUGGACUUUACACGAUAAAACCUGCUUACCAAUGGGAAACUAUGGCCAUCCCACAGGGACAGAGUUCAAUAGCUGUAUGUUCUGCAACAGGAUAAAAUGGAAUUGACUCCAAGAUUUUUCUUUUUAAAAAAAUAAAAAAGCUGCUUUAUGAGUUGA